rnacentral:rRNA from 1 species
GAUGAACGCUGGCGGCGUGCCUAAUACAUGCAAGUCGAGCGAACGGACGAUAAGCUCUCGUCUCUGAUGUUAGCGGCGGACGGGUGAGUAAGACGUGGAUAACCUACCUAUAAUUCUGGGAUGACUUCGGGAAACAGGAGCUAAUACCAGAUAAUAUUUUGAACCGCAUGGUUCAAGAGUGAAUGACGGUCUUGCUGUCACUUAUAGAUGGAUCCGCGCUGCAUUAGCUAGUUGGUAAGGUAACGGCUUACCAAGGCAACGAUGCAUAGCCGACCUGAGAGGGUGAUCGGCCACACUGGAACUGAGACACGGUCCAGACUCCUACGGGAGGCAGCAGUAGGGAAUAUUCCGCAAUGGGCGAAAGCCUGACGCAGCCACGCCGCGUGAGUGAUGAAGGUCUUCGGAUCGUAAAACUCUGUUAUUGGGGAAGAACAGCUGUGUAAGUAACUGUGCAUAUCUUGACGGUACCCAAUCAGAAAGCACCGGCUAACUACGUG